UCACUAUUCUUACGGGAGAGCCGUAGGAAUAGCCUGUGAGGCUAUUCUUACGGGACCGUAGGAAUAGCCACUUCCUAAGUCAAAAUAAUUCGACAUUCAGAUUGUUUUAUAUUUGUGACUGCCCUUACAGAAGAAAAAGGCCUGCUGCGUACUCUUGCUGUGUACAUACAGUGUAUAUGAUGCGUACAUGAUGUGUACUGAAAUCAAGGGCUUUAAAUAGUACGCAGGAUAUACACCGCACAUACACCGAUAGUACGUUUGUAGUACACUUUUGACAUGCAAAUGAGCUCUGCCGCGUACUACUUGCUGCGAACAUGCUGUGGACUACAUAGUACACAGGAUGUACACUGGAGGAAUUUAGUAUGCGGGAAAUAGUACGCAGCAUGUACGCGGCACAUACACUUUUCACAUGCAAAUGAGCCUGCGGUGUACUACCCCUGCGGCGUACAUGCUGUGUACUCCUGCGGCGUACAUGCUGUGUACCCCUGGCCCGAGUCCUGCGGCGUACAUGCUGUGUACUUCUGCUGCGUACAUGCUGUGUACUCUUGUGGCGAAACUGCUUUGAUAAUGUAAAUUCCUUACCCCACCAACUUUCAUAUGCAAAUGCUGAUCAUUUGGACAGAAAAAAAAACAGAAAAAAGAUAAGUGACAUGCAUCAAUAAGUAUUUACCCUUACCAAAAUAAUGUAGAUUGAUGUUAUCAAAUAAAUUAGUAUGCUUUUCUUCAUCCACUUUUCAAUGAAAUAAAUCAAUUUUUGUAGCAUGUAAUUUGGUAAACAUUUGAAGAUAAUGGCGUAAAUGCAUCAAGGGGAAACAGCUUUAAUGCAACUAAAUAAUAAUAUAAGUGUUAUGACUUAUUAUAGAUGAUGUGUGCGUAGUAUGUAUUUAUUUUGAUUAAAAUCCAUCUGAGAACAAUCUAGGACUGGAAUUAUAUAAGCAUUUAUACACUUUUACGUGCGUAAAAAGUAGCGCACCAAAAAAUUUUGGAUUGAUUUUUUCCAAUGGGGCUAGCGCAAUUAGCCAAAAACGUUCUGAAAAUAUACGAGCGGCAAAUCCGAUGAACAACUUUUUAAUUUGGUGAGGCCUUAAUGAGUUAACAUAAUGAGCAUUAAAGCCUUUAUUAAACAUGAUAGAAUGGUGUUUUGCCCAAGAGUAUUCAAAUAACAGUGAGAGCUAUUAAUUCUUCUCAUUCGGGCGCUGUUGAGGCAUUAUCUUGGUAAUUAUUUCAUGUAUUACAAAAUGUAAUGCAACGAAGUUCAAAUAAGGCUUUUCAAUUAUCCAAGUUAGAAAGCUCCAGGAUUAAUUCAAAAUGAAAAAGAAUAUAUUUUUUACACUGCAUGCAAGGUGCAGCUCAGAAAUCACUAAGAUGUAAGCUUCACAAAUGAACAUUGCAAAUAGUUUGGCAAAUUUUCAUUGUUCAGAAUACCGGUAAUUUGAACUAUUCUAUGCUAUUAAGAUAAAAGUUACUCGGAAAUCAAGUUCUUGCUUCCAAAAAAAAAAAAAAUGUACAAAUCCUUCCUGCGUGAAGUGUACUUCAGACUUUUACCUAAAAAAAUUCAAAGUAUAAACACCAAAAGAAAAUGAACAAGUCCCUCCCGCGUAUAUGAAGUUUACUUCAGACUUUAACUUAUAAAAAAAAAAAAAACUAAGUAUAAAUGCCAAAAGAAAUUGUACAAGUCCUUCCCGCGUAUAUGAAGUGUACUGCACAAAUUUCAAAGUAUCUGCAGUGUACAUGCAGUGUACUAUUUUCUUGUACAAGUCCCUCCUGCGUACAUGCAGUGUACUCCUUAAAUUUUCAGAGUCUGUGCUGCGUACUUGAAGUGUACUAGUGACCUCCUGCGUACAUGCUGUGUACUCGUCGAAAUAGUACGCGGCAUGUACGCGGCAUGCGGUGUAUGUAAAAUGUACUCCUCUGGCGUACUACUGUGUUCGCGGCAUAUACACAGCAAAUACGCAUCAUGUACGCCACAGAGGCUUGCUUCUGUAAGGGUGGCUUAGAUUGCGAGUGGGGAUAUCGUCGGUUCUACAGAUAGAGGAGCAACUCCAAUUUAAACAUGUUGGCGCAGUUAAACUCUUUAUAUUUUUUGGUAGUAUCACUAUUUUGCUUUCAAAAUGAAGGAGGCACAUUUUAUACUGUCUAAAAUUGCACUGAAAUGUCCACUAUAGAGAUAACUAAUUUUCGAAAUCAGACGUUUAACACAUGCACAUGAGAUCAAAAAUCUAUGUCGGCGAUCUAGGGUUAAAUUAAAUUGCAUGGUACUGAAAUUUAAAUAUCGAGACAAUUACUAAACUGUUAUGCUCAAAUGAUUAGUUAAUGAUAUACAUCUUGAACAAAACAUCGCUUUUUUCAAUAUGCACAUGUGUCAAUCAUUUGUAUAUUGACCGCGUACCUUUUGUGUUUUGACAACAGAUACGUUACAACAUCUAUUCACUUCAAAUACUCGGGUGCGUAAUGCAUGUUCCGGAAUAACUCUUGACAGUUUGAAUGUUUAAUGAUAUGAUUAUCAAAAAAAUAUUUAUUUAUAACUGAAAUAAACAUUUCUAAACAUAUUGUAGAAAAUAAGAUAAGAUGAUGUUCAACUGCCACCGUCUUUCAAUUUGUUUUGAACAGAUACGUUACGAAGUGUUUCAUUCAGCAUGCAUUUAUAUUGCAUUUAUCUAGAAAUGUUACUGGACAGUGUAGUAGAACACGUGUUUAACUUUGUAUCCAAAUUAAAGUAUUUAACUUUCAGUCCAGAUUUCAUAUUUUUUCACUUGAGAAAACAUAUUAAAAACAGAUACAUUACAAACAACAGAUACGAUAUACGACUGUGCUAUAAAAGUGUAAAAAUGUUUGAAUUGUUUGAAUAAUCAUCACCUUAAUAUAAAGUUUUAGAAAAAAGUUGAUGGCGGAUUUAUUAUUGAUAUCUGAAGUUAAUAAUUAAGACUUCAUAAAUACUGAAUAAAACAGAUACGUUACAAUUUCAAUUUUUUAUGUUAGAUGUUCAAAUUACAGAUUUUCUAUACAAAACAUUAACAUUUUGUGUUAUAUUUCUUUAUUUUCAAAUAAAAUCAUACCAAAAUGUAUGAAAUAUAAAGCAAAUGUAACGCCAAUUAAUCAAUUUAAAAAAUGAGACAGAUACGUUUAUACGAAAUGGGUAGACAAUUUUCACUAAAAAGACUGUAUCUUCAGAUAUAUCUAAGAACCAACAGUUAUAUUGUUCAUAUAGUAUGUUUCCCUCAUCUAUUCACUACGUUAAUCUACAUGAUGAUAUAGAUCUUAUUUCGUAAUCCAAUAUAAUAUAAAAUUAUUAAGACAACUGAUAUUUGUGUAAAUUACGUUAUUUUUUCCAUACCAUUUGAUUUACUUUAUCAAUCAUAAUAUAUAAAUAACUUUAUUUCUUAUUAAACUAUACAGAGUAUUUAGUCUGAACAGGAAAAUAACGGACACAAAUAUUGUUAUGUGUUAUAUUAAAAUAUUUUUUGAAUGAAAAUUCGCAGUGUAACGUAUCUGUCGCUGAUUUACAGCUAUCUUUGAAAAAUCAAUAAAAUAACGAAAAUUUUUCGAUAGUUGACUAAAAGAUUUGAUUUGUGUACUCCAAAGGCAUGAAACAACUAAAUAAAAACAAAUCUGAUUAUAUUUGGGAACAUCAGAUGUGGGCACACUUUUACUGUCCAAGUUGCUCCUCUAUCUGUAGAAUGGACGAUAUUGCCCAUAUGAAAAAAUUAUCUCAAUAUUUCCUAAGAUCGCGUCAAAUUAGUUGGACUAGAUGCGACCCUGCCCUGGUCUAUGAAAUAUUGAGUUAUUUCUCUUAUGGGCAAUUAGCCUUACCCAUUUGGCUUGUCAGGAUGACUUAUUUUAUGAGCUGAUAUUUUAUAGUUGUCAUCCCUCAAAAGUUAUCACGCUGUCUCGAAACAUCCUAUUAUUUGGACUAGUGGGCAAUAUCUCCACUCGCGUCUAACACUUGAAAGACCAAAAGAGUGGGGGAAAUUUCCUAUGAAAUUUUCAUAACUGCCGAUUGAUUUUGUUGCAAAUAUGAGAUAAAGUCAAAUAAAACUAUUUAUCAAAAGGGGAUUCAAUUCCUCAUUAAUUUAAGUAAAAAUUAUUAAAUAAUUUCCAAAAAUACACGAAUUUCCUGGUGAAUUAAACCUUUUUUGUAUGUUAAAGUACAUGCACGAUUAACGUUUACCGUGUGUACACGCUACACUUAUGCACAAGCGAUAAAACCAAUAACUUUACAUGACGGUGUACUGUGAUUUAUCCUCCAUUAUUUUUGUCCUACAAUUUCAAAUUGAUGUUAAUUAAUACAAACUUACUUUAACUUAGCUACCAAGUGAGUAGAAGGGACAAGAGGUGUGUUAUUGAUUUUAUUCGCUCUGACGUCAUCCGGAAACAAAAAAUAAUUUCAAACACUAAGUAGGUUAGAGUUUAUUAAUGUGCAUUUACAAAACUUAAUCAGCCUCGUGGCUGCGCUGUUCAUAGCUGUCAGAUUAAACUUUGUAAAUACACAUUAAAAAACACUAAUUAACCUAUACUAAAAGCAAAAUGAAUAAUUAAAAUCAGUUUUUAUCAAAUAUAAAUUGUACCUUGUAUUUUUAGCUCCACUAUUCGGAGAACAGGGGGGCUAUUCUACUCGCCCCGGCGUCGGCGUGACCUUUCUUGGUUAAAAUUUUUCGGCAACCUUUGUUUUUCUGUCAUAUCUUUGUUACUAUUGCUUAUAUCUUACUGUAACUUCACAUAAACAUUGUCCAGUAUACAAACAAAGUAAAUAUAGGGGCUAAGCCCAUUAUACCCAAGGUCAAGGUCACCAAGGUGUUAUACUUAGGUUAUUUUUAAGGUUAAACUUUUUCGGCAACCUUUGUUUUUCUGUCAUAUCUUUGUUACUAUUGCUUAUAUCUUACUAUAACUUCACAUAAAAAAUUGUCCAGUAUACAAACAAAGUAUGUGUAGGGGCUGAGCCCAUUAUACCCAAGGUCAAGGUCACCAAGGUGUUAUACUUAGGUUAUCUUUAAGGUUAAAGUUUUUCGGCAACCUUUGUUUUUCUGUCAUAGCUUUGUUACUAUUGCUUAUAUCUUACUGUAACUUUACAUAAACAUUGUCCAGCAUACAACAAAGUAUGUACAGGGGCUGGGCCCAUUAUACCCAAGGUCAAGGUCACCAAGUUGUUAUACUUGGAAUUAUUUUCAUGUUAAAUUUUUUCGAAAGCUUCGUUUAUAGACAUAUCUUUGGUACUUUAAAAGAUAAUGACUUGAAAUUAAAAAUAUAUCUUUAUGAUCAUCAUCUGCAUGUGUGGUUACAAACCCCAUAACUCUAAUUGUAUUUUGACAGAAUUAUGCCCCUUUUGUACUUAAAUUUUUUUUUGCAAUCUUCGCUUUCUGGAUAUAACUUUAAUGCAAUAUAAGAUAAAGACUUGAAACUUAAAAUGUAUCUUUAUCAUCAUCAUCUGCAUGUGUGGUAACAAUCCCCAUAACUCUGAUUUGUAUUUUUGACCAAAUUAUGCCUCUUUCAUACUUAAAUUUUUUAACAAACUUCAUUUUCUGGACAUAACUUUGGUACUAUAUAAGAUAAUGACUUGAACUCAAAAUAUAUCUUUACCAUCAUCAUCUGCAUGUGUGGUAACAAUCCCAAUAACUCUAAUUUGUGUUCUUGACAGAAUUAUGCCCCUUGGUGUAUCUUCCUUUUAAAGUAGAGGUCUCUUAUUAAGACAUAUAUUCAUUUUACUGUCAAAUCGCCGAAUGGUGGAGCGCGCUGUCUUACGGACAGCUCUUGUUAUAUUAACAUAUUAAUCAGAGGAAAUAAUAAUAAUUGUAAUAAAUAACUACAUGCACAUGAGUAAACAUUAAAUUACAAUUCUCGUAUAGGUUAGUGUUUAUUAGUAAGCAUUUAUUAAAUUAAAUUGGUCUGGUGCGGCGCAGCCCACGCGACCAAUUUAAUUUGAUAAAUGCUUACUAAUAAACACUAACCUGUUUAGUGUUUGAAAUUAUUUUUUGUUUACAAAUUUAAGCUCAGCCUACAGUAGGUGACUUACCGGGUUAAUAAACGACUGGAAGUAAAUGUUGAUUUACCAAAAUAAAUUUCCUGAUAAUUUGAAAAAUACUGCAAUGCCAUUGGACAAAAAAUAAUUUCAAACACUAAUGUGUAAUAAAACACACUACUGUUUCUGUCUGUUAGAUAUAGGAAAUGACACAAAAAUGACAGUUUUUCAUGAGUUCAAACUUUUUCGCUCAAUGUUUAAAGUAAUUUAAAGAGCUCAAAAUUCACUCAAUACUUGCUUUAUCAAUGGUUAAUAGGUGUUAUUAACACCUAUUUAAAUAGCAUCCCAUUACAGAUAAUUUCAAUAUAUAUUUCAUAUGUAGGGGCCUCCGUGGCCGAGUGGUUAAGGUCGCUGACUUCAAAUCACUUGCCCCUCAUCGAUGUGGGUUUGAGCCUCACUCUGGGCGUUGAAUUCUUCAUGUGAGGAAGCCAUCCAGCUGGCUUACGGAAGGUCGGUGGUUCUACCCAGGUGCCCAUUUCGUGAUAAAAUAAUGCACGGAGGGGCACCUGGGGUCAUCCUCCACCAUUAAAGCUGGAAUGUCGCCAUUAUGACCUAUCAUGUGUCGGUGCGACGUUAAAUAAAAAAAAAAAAAAUAAAAAAUAAAAAUUAUUUCAUAUGUGGUAGACUUCAUCCUGAAAAGGUACACUUAUGCACUGGUACGUUUAUAUAAUGGCACGCUUCCUGAAAAGGUACACUUAUGCUCUGGUACGCUUAUAUAAUGGUACGCUUCGUCCUGAAAAGGUACACUUAUGCACUGGUACGCUUAUAUAAUGGUACGCUUCGUCCUGUACCUCAACAAGAGAACAGGACAAUGGAGCAUUCUGUUGUGUUGGCAGGGCACUAUGUGACAACACAAGAUCAAGACAUGUUUUAUCAUUGCUUCCCUUUGUGGCUGACAUACACAGUUAAAUGAUACAUAUGUCCAAUAAUACAGGUAGAUCUACUGUAAAUAAAAUAAAGUACAUGUCUGUACAUGCUUAGUACCCUCACUGAGCCAGUCAUAUCCUUUUUUAUUUAAUGCGAAAAUGAAGUUAAGCACUUCUGUGAAUGAUGGAAGUGAAUCAAAAAAACAAUACUUUGUCAUGUCCUUAUGUUGUUGCUUGGUGCCCCUGCCAGCAGAACUGUACAACAAUUUGAAUGCUUCUUAGUUGUGUUCUGUUGCAUAGUGCCCCUGCCAGCAGUAAAAGACAACAAAAUAGGACGUCAACUUGACAGAAAUUUUUUUUGCGUUGUCACCCUUCUUUUGUGAUGUCCUUGUGCUGGUGGAGGUGCCGCCACUUUAGCAUGAAAUGGCAGAAAUAAGCCACCAAUACUAUAUACUUUUUAACACUUUUUGCAAGGCAUAAAUGAACAUUGUGUGCAAGGGAAAUAAAUGUUCCAUUGACAGCAGUUUAUAGAACUUGGAACAAAGUGAAUAAUCAUGAAAUUAUGAAAAAUAUGGAUGGUAGAUGUAACUCACAUAACUGGAAACACAAGACCUCUACUUCUGCAGAAACUACUUCAGACCUCGAUUUAGAUCUAGAUUUCAAACUAAAGCGUGCACUCAGAUCUGGAGAUAUUUUAUCAUUUAAAAGGCUGGUUAAAGGAGGUGUAAAUGUCAACUCCUGUUACUGGUACAACAGUACAU